UACGUAGGGCGCAAGCGUUGUCCGGAAUUAUUGGGCGUAAAGAGCUCGUAGGCGGUUUGUCGCGUCUGCUGUGAAAUCCUCAGGCCUCAACCUGGGGCUUGCAGUGGGUACGGGCAGACUAGAGUGCGGUAGGGGUGACUGGAAUUCCGUGGUGUAGACGGUGGAAUGCGCAGAUAUCAGGAGGACACCGAUGGCGAAGGCAGGUCACUGGGCCGCAA
rnacentral:rRNA from 1 species